GUGGUAGCUCAGUGGUAGAGUGCUUGCCCAGCUCAUAUGAGGCUCUGGGUUCAAUCCCCAGUACCACA
rnacentral:tRNA from 1 species